UAUCGGUAGUUUACUGCCGUUGGAAGGGGGUGGAAACUUUCUAGGCCUGCCUAGGGACGAGUACAUCCUGUUCUUAACCCUUGACUUUUUGCGCACUCAUGUUUCCUCGGCGGGCUUGCCCGCCAUGAGGACAUUACAAACCCUUUGUAGUAGCAGUAACUUCAGUUAAUAAUAAAUAUUAAAACUUUCAACAACGGAUCUCUUGGUUCU
rnacentral:misc_RNA from 1 species